CUUACUCUGAGUCGGCGGGGGCCCCCUAGUGCUGAUCGUGGUGUGGUCCCGGCGUCUGGCGCGCUUCCCAGUAUUCUGCAGACCCUCUCCUACUCCAGCUGAAAUCUCAAACUUUCAGGAACAUGGAGUCUAUAGACACCUCCUUACAGCUUCAUUCUUAGUCGAGUGCACACAGACUUGAAGGAAGGGAAGCAAGCAAACUUUGUGCCCCGGGCUGGAGGAGUGGAGGUUUUGAGUCGAGCCAUCUUCCUGCUCCAGUGCUGGGAUCGCAGGUCUGGACCACCAGGGCUGACCUUCACCUUCACUUUGCAACUGCUGCCGGCUUGGGGAGAAAAGGACUCUUGGGUAUGGGUGGCAUGGCUGGAGAGAUCAUUUGUAUGACAGUGAUGCUCAGGUCGGGACGGUAUGAGGCAAUAAGUGGGGACAGUAGGAAGCACCUGUUUUAGACCGUUUGUCUAGCUGCCUGGAAGACAGUCUUCUCCUGGCUACCUUAUGCUCAAGAUGUAGAACUCUCAGCUCCUCCUGCACCAUGCCUGACUGGAUGCUGCCAUGUUCCUGCCUUGAUGACAAAGGACUGAACCUCUGAACCUGUAACCCAGCCCCGGUGAAAUGUUGUCCUUAUAAGAGUUGCCUUGGUCAUGGUGUCUGUUCACAGCAGUGAAAGCCAACUAAGACAGUGCUUAAGGAAACCCCCCCCCCAGAGCAA
rnacentral:lncRNA from 1 species